rfam:Myotis davidii contig92766, whole genome shotgun sequence.
GGCGGUUUUUAGGUGAUGUACCCCAGAAUUGGGCUCCCUUCUCUCUGGUUCCAGGGUGUGUCACCCAAGAACUGCC